CAUACAACAAGGUGUGCAGAAUUCUUCCCCCUGUAUAUUUUGUCCUUUUCUUAACAUUGUAAAAGUGGUUUUAUUGCUAAAACUACUUAUUUGAAAAUGUAUUUUUUUUUAUCGGUAAUCAAGCGUGACCCACUGCCUGACUGACUCGUACACAAUUGUAACUUACCAAUAGAACAAACCUCAAGCAAAAUCUCUACAAAAGAAAAUCACCGUACCUAUUUUCACCUUUAUCUCACAUUUCAUACCAACUAAAAAAAAGACCCUUGAUAUCAGGAAGGAUGUUGUGGUUGUCCUCAUCUCGUGGAAAGUAACCUUGAUAUCUUCCACCACUUUCCGUAACGCCCAAUGACAGCUGUCAAGAAGAAGUAUGAUUGACGCCCGUCUGAUGAGCCUGAUGGACAAUUACAAAGCAGAACCCUGUCAGACUUACGAGAAGCACCGAUUGGAAGGGGGAGGACGAAGCUGUGUACGCGUUUGUGAAGGACAGUCAAAAGACGUGAGGGGAGCUAAGAAUAUCAGUGGGCCCGUUUGCCUGCUUCUCUUCAGCUGUCAGAAGAUGUGAGCGUGGAAAUAAUCAAAAUGUGCUGUGCCUUUUUUUUUUUAAUUUUUUUUUUUUCUAAGACUCCCUCAGCACAAAUGACAAAAAUGCUUCUCGAGCUUAAUAGAUAGAGCUGCAUUUAAAUGUCUGUUUCUUGACAACAUCAUUGAAUAAUAGUGUCAGUGGAAAAUUUAGCACCAGCAGUGAAACCAACAGGAAGACACUCAAGCCCACUGCUUAGCCGGUCCACCUGCAUGCUGUCCACAACCUUCACAUAGGAGCAGAGGAGCAUGUCACUGUGCACAAGUACGUCCCAUUACCACAUUCUUAUGAAGGACGGGCUCUCUGAAGAUCUUGGUUUCUGGUUAGAAACAGCAGAGUCAUGCAGGCAGUCGAGUGAGUGCAGUCGACUGGCUGCAGUCCCCUUUUGAGAAAAGACACGGGGAGUCCAUUUUGCCACUUUUCAUGAUUUAAGGCAAGGGUUCUCAAACUUGUUUGGCUCCAGGGGCCCCUUACAUCGGACACAAUCCCCCUGUUUUUAUCCAUCUCAGAGGGCAGCCAUUUUGCCACUUGCUGUCGACUGAAAAUGACAUUACAGUUGCCAGGUUGCAACCAAUCACGGCUCAGAUUUCGAUAACUGGUGAGCUCUGCUUGCUUGUGACCUGAGACCUGGCAACUGUAAUGUCCUUUUCAGUUGACAACAGGUGGCAAAAUGGCCACCUUUGAAAUGGACAAAAACGGGUGAGUUUUGCUGUUUAACUCAUAUUUCACAAACAUUAAUCAGAAUAGGGGCACAUACAAUAUAUUAUUAUUAUAAAGAAAAGUUGGGACUUGAGUUCCUCUUUAAAUUUGCUCAUGUGAGGUAAGGACUAAAGGAGUAAUAAAAAUGUAAUUUAUUGCAAAUUAUUUUGACCCCUAAGCUGUCACUGAGGUCAGAUAAAGAAAAUCAUUCUCAACAUUGCUGUCAAUGUGUUUUGAUUUGUCCUACACCUCUUGGAGUGAGAUUGUCCUGAUGUGCCUAAUAAAGUGUCUACUGUAGGUGAACGCGAUACUGAUCUUGCUUUGUUUUGCGCAGUGGGUAUGGGGGGCAUGUUCCCAUCAGGGAAGGAGAAGGGAGGGAUGCACAGAGUGAGUGAAUGUGGGGGAGUGAGCCAGUGUGGGGGCAGCAAGGCCAUCUGGACUGUGAAGAGGCUGAAGAAAAAGAGUGUCUGUGUGCGUGCAUGUGUGCAUACGCGUGUGAACAGAACGAAAGAGUGCGGACACCAAGCAAAGACGCACGUAGCUUUAACUCUUCUAGCUUGUGUGGGUCAAUAUCACUCUUCUGUGUGCACAAUUAUUAGGCAAAAUUGCAUUUUUUGAGGAUUAAUUUUGUUUUUUUGAACAACUACAGUGCUCUCGGUCAACCAAAAUGUUAAUAAACCUCAAAUAUGAAUAUUCAAGUGAGUAAAAGUGAGAUUCAAGAACAUGUUUAUAUAUGCACAAUUUUUAGGCAACUAAAAUUUCUGUGCAGAAUUAGUAUGCUAUUAAAGUUAAAAAAAAUAAUUUAAUUAAUUUUUUUGUUUUUAGAGUUAAUUUUAAACCCACCUUUAACUCAAAAUGGUCCAACCAGCUCAUCUUAAACAAUACCAGCCCAUACCAGUAUCUUGCUGGCGUCUGAUUUGAAAUGAAGCUAAGUGGCCGUUACUGAUCCAGCCUCGGGUCCAGCUGGUCCGUCAAAAGUUCCAUCAGUCCAUAAGAUGUUUGAAAAAUGUGGAUUUGGAUAUCUCCUGGCCCAGUCUUGACCUAGCACUGGAGGAUAAUGGAUUCCUGGUAGCUUUAUGAUUGUUUUCUCAAAUCUUUGGUGUUUUGUUUGCGUCUUUUUUUUCCUUAACACGUUUUUUACAACAUUGUUGACUAUUUACAAUGAUACAUUUGAUGGUUCUGUGAUCACACCACAAUAUCUUAGCAUUUUCAAGAGUGCCGCAUCACUCUGAAUUUUUGACUUCUCAGAGUCACUUAAAUGUCUUUUCCCUCGCAUUUUGCCUGAGGAAAAAAAACACCUGCCUAAUAAUUAUGCACACUGUGUUAUAGGCAACCCCACUUAGAUCAGGAAACUGAACCACAUCAUACCUGGCCUCAAAUUUCAUUAUUAGAUAUUGUAAAUAGUGACCUUUAUACAACGACAACGUGAUGUCCUCUGUCUAAAUACAAAACAUGUCCAUUUGUUGUGUUUUGUACUGUGAUAGGUGAGUUGUACGCAUCAGCCAAAACUGUCCUUGCAUGGUCAGUUGACCCCCUCCCUUCCCCCAACCCUUCUGACCCUAUUCAUUGCACUUUCUCCCAUCCCCCGUUUGUUGUUGGUCAAAUCAAUAACACCCUCAAGACAAACUACCCUCCGACGUUCCCUACCCCGCACUCGUCACACUCCUCCUCACCGAGAGGUCAUCAGGUCGCACAAGUCUGCAACUUUAUGCUCCGCUAGCCGCCCCGUCCCUCUCCAUCCCGCCGACCCACUUUCCCCUUGCUCCCCCGUCUGGGUUUUGUCAGUUCUAUAGCUGGCGUGAAGCAGCUCUUGGAUGGCGUAUUGAUCUGGGUUUCUAUUCACCUUCACUCCCAUCCUCUCGCCUCUUCACGCUCCCCAGUGUGCUGUAAUGCUCCAACCUCUUUGAUCGCUGUGUUUGUGUCUGUCUGUCCGCUGCUUUCGUAAAUGUCUCCAUUUACUGUAAGCUCCACCAUUUGUCUCACUGUCUAGCACACACAUACACACACACACACACGCACACACGCACACACACACACAUACGUUCUUGGAAAGGAGUCUCGUUUCCCACAGAUGUAUUACAAACAACGACUGUAGUCUCACUUGCAGAUCUCAUUUAACACAUUUGUCAGGUUGGCAAUUCUGCGUUGCGUGUUUGUGUGUGCGUGUGUAAUCCACAUCUUUAUGUGGGUUUUGUGUAUGACUUGUUCCCCCCCCCCCCCCCAAGGCCAUCGUUGUUAAAUCGUCAUUUUGAAAAAGCACUUGGGUGUUUGGUGUUUUCAGACCUUUCCAUCUAGGCUGUUGAAACGUGUGCAACAACAAACAAAACAUAUCGCUGAAGGGAAGGAAGAUGGUGUAUAGAGAAAAUAUUUCCAAAGCAAAUUAGAGGAACUGUUGAGGUGAGCGGUGUGUGUGUGUGUGUG